rnacentral:tRNA from 1 species
AAAUUUAGGCUAACACUAAACCAGGAGCCUUCAAAGCCCCAAAAAAGAGCCCAACCCUCUUAAUUUCU